UUACUAGGUUUCCUGCUCGG
rnacentral:miRNA from 1 species